rnacentral:lncRNA from 10 species
ACUGAGGGGAAAACAGUUUACCAUAUUUGUUCUGAAAUAACAAAACCCAAGGAGGAACAACUCUCUCUGAGGGUUUCUAUUCUAGACCAUGCGGGAGGAUAGGAGCAUAUGGACAGUAAACAAGGAAUCCAGUCCUUCCAUGAGACCUCGGUACACACAGAACUCCUCCUACCACGUGCAACCUUAUUCUCGGCUGAGCAACUCAUAAAUCGCAUAACAAAA